rnacentral:rRNA from 1 species
AGAGUUUGAUCCUGGCUCAGGAUGAACGCUGGCGGCGUGCUUAACACAUGCAAGUCGAACGAACCUUCGGGUUAGUGGCGGACGGGUGAGUAACGCGUGGGAAUCUGCCCUCAGGAGGGGGAUAACGGCUGGAAACGGCCGCUAAUACCCCAUAUGCCGAGAGGUGAAAUGAAUUUCGCCUGAGGAUGAGCCCGCGUCUGAUUAGCUAGUUGGUGAGGUAAGAGCUCACCAAGGCAUCGAUCAGUAGCUGGUCUGAGAGGAUGAUCAGCCACACUGGGACUGAGACACGGCCCAGACUCCUACGGGAGGCAGCAGUGGGGAAUUUUCCGCAAUGGGCGAAAGCCUGACGGAGCAACGCCGCGUGAGGGAUGAAGGCCUCUGGGCUGUAAACCUCUUUUCUCAAGGAAGAAGAUCUGACGGUACUUGAGGAAUAAGCCACGGCUAAUUCCGUGCCAGCCGCCGCGGUAAUUC